rnacentral:rRNA from 1 species
CAUGACGUAGACCCGAAACCGGGUGACCUAUCCAUGAGCAGGUUGAAGUGGAGGUAAAGCUCCAUGGAGGACCGAACCAGACGUCUGUUGAAAAAGGCGGGGAUGACUUGUGGAUAGGGGAGAAAUUCCAAUCGAACCCGGAGAUAGCUGGUUCUCCUCGAAAUAGCUUUAGGGCUAGCCUCAUGGAUCAUUGGUGGGGGUAGAGCACUGAAUGUGCGCGGGGGCCACAAAGCCUACCAAACGCUAUCAAACUACGAAUACCAUACAAUGCAGACCAUGGGAGUCAGUCCGCGAGAGAUAAGUUCCGCGGGCAAAAGGGGAACACCCCAGAUCAACCGCUAAGGUCCCCAAGUUCACGUUAAGUGGAGAAGGAUGUGGAAUUGCACAGACAACCAGGAUGUUGGCUCAGAAGCAGCCACACAUUUAAAGAGUGCGUAAUAGCUCACUGGUCGAGUGAUUGUGCGCCGAAGAUGUCCGGGGCUAAACGUGACACCGAAGCGAUGGGUGCGUCUGAAAGGAUGCGCGGUAGAGGAGCAAUGUGCAGAGGCAGAAGCCGUAUCGAGAGGCACGGUGGACACUGCACAAGAGAGAAUGCCGGUAUGAGUAGCGAGAGGCAUGCGAGAAACAUGCCCGUCGAAAGCCCAAGGUUUCCUGGGGAAGGUUCAUCCGCCCAGGGUAAGUCGGGGCCUAAGCCGAGGACGGAAGUCGUAGGCGAUGGACAGCAGGUGUAGAUUCCUGCACUACCGAUGGAAUGAAGCAGUGACACAGAAGGAUAACUCGAGCAGGGUGAUGGUCAACCCUGUGCAAGCAUCAAGGUUGGGUUGUAGUGAAGUACGCAAUCCUAUAAGCUGAGGUGUGAUGCGGACCGAAAUUUCAGUAGGGAAGCGAGUGAGUUCACGCUGGCGAGAAAAGCUGCUAGUACAUCCAAAGGUACCCGUACCGGAAACCGACGCAGGUGGGCGAGGAGAGAAUCCUGAGACGAACGGGAGAACCCUUGUUAAGGAACUCGGCAAAAUGACCCCGUAACUUCGGGAUAAGGGGUGCCUGCGAGAGCAGGCCGCAGAGAAUAGUCACAAGCGACUGUUUAGCAAAAACACAGGUAUCUGCGAAAGCGAGAGCUGACGUAUAGGUGCUGACACCUGCCCGGUGCUGGAAGGUUAAGGGAACAUGUUAGAGCAAUCGAAGCAUCGAACCGAAGCCCCAGUAAACGGCGGCCGUAACUAUAACGGUCCUAAGGUAGCGAAAUUCCUUGUCGGGUAAGUUCCGACCCGCACGAAUGGUGUAACGACUUGUGAGCUGUCUCAACAGGGGGCCCGGUGAAAUUGAAGUAUGGGUGAAGAUGCCCAUUACCCGCGACUGGACGGAAAGACCCCGUAGAGCUUUACUGCAGCCUGAUAUUGAGUUUCGGUAACUGAUGCACAGGAUAGGUGGGAGUCUGAGAGACAUGGGUUUCGGCUCGUGUGGAGACGAUGUUGGGAUACCACUCUUCGGUUACUGAAAUUCUAACAUAGCUCUGUGAAACCAGAGGAUGGACAGUGUCAGGUGGACAGUUAGACUGGGGCGGUCGCCUCCGAAAGAGUAACGGAGGCGCCCAAAGGUACCCUCAGAAUGGAUGGAAACCAUUCGAAGAGCGCAAAGGCAGAAGGGUGCCUGACUGCGAGAGUGACAACUCGAGCAGAGACGAAAGUCGGGCUUAGUGAUCCGGCGGUAUUGAGUGGAAAAGCCGUCGCUUAACGGAUAAAAGCUACCUCGGGGAUAACAGGCUGAUCUCCCCCAAGAGUCCACAUCGACGGGGAGGUUUGGCACCUCGAUGUCGGCUCGUCGCAUCCUGGGGCUGAAGCAGGUCCCAAGGGUUUGGCUGUUCGCCAAUUAAAGCGGCACGCGAGCUGGGUUCAGAACGUCGUGAGACAGUUCGGUCCCUAUCCAUCGUGGGCGUAGGAGUCAUGAGAGGAGCUGUUCCUAGUACGAGAGGACCGGAAUGGACGCACCACUGGUGCAACUGUUGUCGUGCCAACGGCAUAGCAGGGAAGCGAAGUGCGGAAGGGAUAAACGCUGAAGGCAUCUAAGCGUGAAGCCCACCUCAAGAAUAAGACUCCACAUAGACCCCUGGAGGACUACCAGGUAGAUAGGUCAUCGGUGGAAGCGCUGUAAGGCGUGUAGCUUGAUGAUACUAAUCGGUCGAAAGCUUCAUUU